GCCGGCGUGGCCCAAUCGGGAGAGGCGCUUGUCUUAGGAACAAGUUCGUGCGAGUUCGAAUCUCGCCGCCGGCA
rnacentral:tRNA from 1 species